rnacentral:rRNA from 1 species
CUCCCUCGUUGCUGAUCUCAGGUUCGAUAAUGCCAAAUCGCACCACCUCGCCUAACACCAACUUCGAUGAAGCGACGGGCGGUGUGUG